UGCUGACAAAUGCUUGUGCUUUAACAUCAAGAACAGCCUUGGCAAUAUUCAUGUAUGGAAAAAUGUCUCCUCUGUAUUGUCAGGCAACUAAACCUCUUAAGCCACUGUUCUGAUGUUUGCAUGCUACAGAAAUAACAUUAAAACAAGAUUUAGGAGCCAAAUAACUGCAUAUCAUUUAAAGUAAACUACAUGUUAUAUAACUUUGCUGCCAGCCUUUAAAUUGGCAAACAUACUCAUCCAGUUCCUGUUAAAUAUCGUUAAAAAAUUAUGCUCAAUGAGAAACACACACACUAAUUCUUUAUGAUAGCAGCUAGACGCGCCAGUCUUCAGACUGAAAUAAUUUGCCAAGAUUAUUUAAGCACAGACCACAGAGAGCAGCUCCCUACAAGCUUGCAGACUGCAGGGAGGGCAAAAAGGCAGAGACAGGGAGCAGAGAGAGACAGGAAAACAACACUGGUCAGCAUAAAAAGUGAUGAUCUUAGCAUGAGAAUCUGAUGUUUGAUUUUGGUAUGUUCAUGUCAUAACUGGGAUCAUCUUGAGCUGAGGAAUUUUACUGCAUUUGUUUCUCAUCAGCACGAAUGUGGGGGUGGCCGUGCUGCAGCACAAGCUGGUACAGGCCACGGUCCCUCAGGGCCUGCAGGCCCAGCACAGCUUGGUGCGCCCCGGCCUCGGGGUGGCUGGUAACCCCUGCUGGCAUGGAUUAUGGAUUAUUCCCCCGGAGAGUGUGUCUGCAGACCCCUACAGCUGCCAGUUUUUCUUAAAUAUUUUUACAGAUGGAGACAUGCCUGUGGCAGGUGGAGGGUUUGGCUCACACCGGCGGUCUCACAGGACCACUCUGACUGGAGGCAGCCAGGGCUGGCUCGCCCCUCACCGCCAGCACCUCCCCAGAGCAAGGGCAGAAAAAGGAAGAAAAUGUGGAAUUGCAGAGACAAAGCGAUAUGCAGAAGAAUAAAUAUUACCAAUUUUAUCCUAUACAUGAGAAAUUGAG
rnacentral:lncRNA from 1 species